UAUUGCGUUCAGGAUAAACACUUCAGUAUUUUGUCCUGCCGUGUCAUAUUUUCUAAUGUUACGAUUGCACCGCUGUCUUAAUAUUUUUCAUAAGUGUUUCCAUUUCCUCUUGUUUUAGGCCUAUUCUGGAGAAAAUGAACCUGCUGGGGAAGGACUUAAAAAAUACAAACUUAGGUUUAACAUCAGACAAACAACAACAGUUUUGUGCCCAGCGCUGCCUCCAUGUGUUCUGGGGUCUUCGUGAGGUGAAUCUUGGUGAACGGCCAGCACCUCCUCAGAGACUCGGAGGAUAAAACCUGGUGGAACAACUUUCAGAAAUGUGCUGAUCUCCUUCAUUUGGAGGACUGAGUCUUUGGCCAGUGGGAGACAGAAGGAGACCUCCUCCUUUGUGAGGUUCCCUACAGGUGGAAAGGAUUUUAAGGUGAAGGAGCCCCAAAUAUGAUUUUCCACUUAUGAGGAACCCCCUUCCAAAAUAAUAAAGGCAGCUCAAUAUUUUCAUUUAUAAAAGUCAAUUUGUACAGUCUGAGUAAAAUAUUAUAUUUGAUUUUAUAGAGAUUAAAUGUAUUAUUAUUGUUAUUAUUAUUACAAAUUAAAUUAUUAUUUUAAAAAAAUCUGUAAAAAUAGGGUACACUGUUCUGCAUUUAUUUGAAGGAAUUUUCUAGAUUUUUUUUUUUUUACAGGUAUUUUACCUGUAUAUUGAAUUUUACUGCAUUGCGUUGUGUUUUAAAGUUAAUGGAAAUGUUCGUAAAAUAAAUGUAUAAUGUCCUGUGUAAUGAGCUGUCAGUACUUUUUCUGUUGUUUUACGGAUUAAUUUUUACAUUACUCGUAAGGAUAUAUCAUAAUGAAUAUUUAUGUGGUCACUACGUUGUAUUAUGUUUUAUUUAAGACAAAUUAUUAAAAUAUAAUCUUUUUGUGCAAUAACCCAAAGAGAAAGAUUUUCAGUUCAGUCCAGAGCAGUGUUAGCUAAUACCAAACCCAUAAAAAACCUUUUGUUGCUAAAAAUAAAAUAAACUUGAACUAAAUUCAGAUUAAUAACCUUAAACAUAUUCUAUUUCAGCUAUUUUUCAUUUAGUUUAACUUGAUGUACUAAAAUAAUUAAAACUGAAAUAAAAAUUAAGAAAAAUAUACAGACAUAAUAAAAAAAUGAAAAUGUUAAACAUGACUAAAUUUACUAAAUUACUUAAAAAAUAAAACCAAUACUAAAUAUUAAUAAAGAAUAUAACAUUAUCCCAAAAUGAUAGUGAUUCAGAUUUAUUUGUAAAGUGCUUUUCACUGUAAUGUAUUGUUCUAAAGCAGUGUUAUAAAAUUAUUGUAUUUUAUUGAUCUUUUUGUGUGUGUGUGUGUUAACACAUCAACAUUGGCAGACAGGCCUUAAAAUAAAUUGUGUGAAAAUCUGAAAGCCUGUUAUAUUGAUAUUUGAUGUGUAUUCUUAUUACACACACAUAGUUCAUACACACUACCAGUCAAAUGUUUGAACACACACGACUGGAUUUAUGUUUCUCAUAAGCUUAAAUACUUGUGAUCUAUAAAGCUUCAGCUUAAAGAUAUACAAAGUAAUUUGUUAUUAUUUUUAUGUAUUUUUUACAUGAGCAGUAAAGGAUAAGCAGCAACAAGUUUGCAGUAUAUAUGUGAACAAUGAGAAUGAACACAAAUGAGCUCAAGUCUGUCUAAAGAAAGACAGUCACAGAUAUAAACUCUGCAUGAACUUGACAUUGGACCGUUUCGAUGAAUCAUCAAGUUCAAGCAUUCAGUCAUGUUUCCAGCCUCACUUUAUAGAAAAUGAUAGAUGGAGACAUGAAAGGCCAUACAAACACCCCCUCGCUCAACCUGAAGUCUUAUUCAUGUUCGGCCUUCAGUUACAACCGUUUUCAUCAAUCGCAAAUACAUCAGCAAAAACCACAUAUGAAUCAACCACUCCGUGAAUCAGCAAACUGAAACUUUCAGAGGCUGACAAUCAGGCCACCGGUCUAUUAAUUUGGCAUUGCACUCGAGAGCUCCUCAAGCUGAUUUAUGUAUUCUUUUGUCUUAAUAUUGAUUGUCGGAGUAGAGGAAUGUAAACACAAUGUCAAGUGAUUCAGACACAUCAAAGGCCGAACCUGGCACGAAUUCAAGAUCAAAGCCGGGCCCACCGGCAGACGCUUGGCCAGGGGCCAGUGCGCUCUAAUGAGCUAAAUUAACAUGUAUUAAUUCUGACCUUGUGAGGAGCAGACAGAUGUCUCUUAUGAGAGAGAGUUCUUUGUUCAAUACACACAUUUAAAGGGGAAGGUCUCCUGCUGUCUCCCGCCGGCCGCAUCUGAUUAUUAAAUACAAGCUCCUUCAAAUGAAGGAGUUCAUAGUAAGAACAGGGUGCAUGAGGGGUUAAAUAUUAGACAAUGCAUCACUUUAUAACAAACAACAACAACAACAACAAAAUCAUAGCAAUGAAAAAUAUAUUAAAAUAAUGUAUAAAAUUAUAUUUAUAUUACCAACCCAAAACAUUUGAAUGGUAAAGUUACUCAGUAUUAACUAAGCAUCAUAUUUUCUAAUAUUAAAUAUCAGUAAGGCUCUGAUUACCUGCAUAUAUAUAAAAUUUUAUAAAUCUAUUUAAAUUGUAUAUUU